ACAUUAGCAGGAAUCUAGAAUCAGAAUUAGAACAAGAACUUGAACUCAAACACUGAUAUGGGAUAUGGGUCCCCGUCUUAAUCACUACACCAAAUGCCCGCUUUCAUCAACUUCCUAUUUUCUAUAGAAUGAAUAGUAUAUAUCGAGUGGCUCCUUCAAAUGAAUUUUUAAGUAUCUCGGUGAUGAUGAUGAAGAACAGCGACAUCAGUUAGGAUUGGGAAGACAAGCCUUUGCAGAAAACGCUGAAAGCAGAGCAGCCAGGAUUGAUGUUGAUAUUUGAAAGUAUGAAAAAGGUGGCUUUUACACCAUCCACGAAUGACAAAAUAAAAAGCGCUGUGUUCGUUGUUCCUGGAAAGAGCCUGGCAGCAUCCUCUUCAGCCGCCUGCCCUUUGAUCAUCCCAGCCUCCUCUCUGCUUACUGCAGUCUUCAAGGCCCAGCCUGCGUGUUUCCUCCUGAGCCUUUGUCUAGUCAUCUCUGCCCUCGGCAAUGACUCCCACACCUCUCAUUUGGACAGUUAGCACCUGAUGCUUUUUACUGCUCCUGAAUAAACAGAUGCACUUCCUUUCCAAGUGCAUCCACCGACUGUCUGGAAAAUUUAUUUCCUUCCCAGUGCUCAGAGUCAGCACAGUGUUCUGUCAAGAAAUAUUUACUGAUGAUGCUAGUCAUGGUCUAUUAAAAUCAGAUGGAAUUUUAGUUUUCAAAAAAGGGCGAGCGGAGGAACAAGGCUGAAGGUUUGGAAGUUGAGAUGCACAAGGAUGAUUAAUCAAUAUUUUCUAAAACAAGUGCUCUGUGUAUACCUUUUUUUGGGGGGGGGGUGGAGGGAAGGUGGAGAUUGAAGGAAACUCUUUGGAGUUUCAAUAAAAUGUUUUUAAAUUUA